GCACUGAUGAAGAGUCCCAAACGAAGACUUAGGACGAAACAGAUGUCCAGUAC
rnacentral:hammerhead_ribozyme from 1 species